GAUGAACGCUGGCGGCGUGCCUAAUACAUGCAAGUCGAGCGAACAGACGAGGAGCUAGCUCCUCUGACGUUAGCGGCGGACGGGUGAGUAACACGUGGGUAACCUACCUAUAAGACUGGGAUAACUUCGGGAAACCGGAGCUAAUACCGGAUAAUAUAUUGAACCGCAUGGUUCAAUAGUGAAAGACGGUUUUGCUGUCACUUAUAGAUGGAUCCGCGCCGCAUUAGCUAGUUGGUAAGGUAACGGCUUACCAAGGCAACGAUGCGUAGCCGACCUGAGAGGGUGAUCGGCCACACUGGAACUGAGACACGGUCCAGACUCCUACGGGAGGCAGCAGUAGGGAAUCUUCCGCAAUGGGCGAAAGCUUGACGGAGCAACGCCGCGUGAGUGAUGAAGGUCUUCGGAUCGUAAAACUCUGUUAUUAGGGAAGAACAAAUGUGUAAGUAACUAUGCACGUCUUGACGGUACCUAAUCAGAAAGCCACGGCUAACUACGUG
rnacentral:rRNA from 1 species